rnacentral:lncRNA from 1 species
AUGGGAUUUCUCAAUCUCGUUUGACUGAGAUAAUGUCCACGGUAGGGUUUGUCCUAUGUACCAGGUCCGUGCACCCUUUUCCACGAUAUCCAUAAACUUUUUACAUAAAUGUUCACAUCAUCAACCAACCACCAAGUACACAACCAUCUCAUUUUAUAUUUACAGAACAAUAGAGCAACAAUUAAACAAACAAUAUAAAAUGGUACUUUAACAACUAAAAAAAAUGUGAUCGGGACAUUCAUUCAAAACUAAUCAACAGACAGAGAUAAAACUAUUUUGUAAAUUAAUAAACAGAAAGGCAACUAAAAUCAUGAAUUAAAGUGCAUACAGUAAUCAAACAAUUUCACUCUAGCAAUAUAUGAACAGUAUAGAUAAAAUAAACAAUUCCAUACUAACUAGUUAUUGACUCUAUUAGUGAUCUAUAUUUAAUUAAUUAAGAGUUUUUAAUAUUCACAAAUUAUAUUGUUAUUAUUUAUCAAACUUUAAUUAACUAUAACGGGAGAAAAAGGUGAGAGAUACUUAUCGUAUGUCGGUGUCGAAGCACCGCCUUUUUCACUGCACUUCUCGGCAGUUUUUGAAUUUCUUGGUUUUUUUUUUCUGCAAAAAUUGAAAACAUGCGUCACAUAUCCUGAAAUACAAAAAAAAAGGGCCAAGAUAAGGGUUUUAAAAGUUUUUGACCAGUUUAGGGUUUUGGGACAGAGACACUGCCAUGCUCCGGUGUCUCCUCUCAGUUUGGCUGGUUUUGGCCAGUUUCAGCAAGUUUUGGGGGAAAACCUAUAAAAGACGAGGUUAAGUGGUCAGUGUUAGUUGAAAAAAGGAAAAACCGAGGCUUUCUGGUAGAGUGAUUUUUCAGUGCGGUGGCUCCUCGUUCUUUUCUCGCGAUCGGGGAUUUUUUUUUUGUUGUCCUGCACCAUAAAAGGGUUAGGGAUAUAACUAUUAGAAAAUGGAAGGAAACGAGAAGCGAGAUCGGGCUCACCGGGGCAGUUUUGAGUCGCGGGUGCGGCGACUUUGCCGAGCUGCACUCCUAGUUUGUAGCUUCUCUUUUGGCUUUUCGACGCCGAUAUAGGUGUGGGGAUGCUUAGAAUUUAAUUUUAAAUUGAAAAAGGGAAAAAACUCACCUCCCCGAUAUUGGCGAUGUCUCCAGUGUGGCAACAAUGGUGAUUGGCUUCCUUUCAGCCGCCCUUCUUCUUCUUCUUUGGCGUGGUCAAGUGUGGCUAGGGUUAGGUUUUUAUGAGAAACGAUGUUUAAAUACCCUCUUUUCGUCAAUCUGGGUCAUUCGUGCAGGGACACAUGGCCCACUCCGGAUCACUCUUAUUUGAAAAAUGAAUCUAGAUCGCACAAUCAGAUUAAAUCUAGUCGUUCGAUCGCGCUUAAAAGGGAAACAGAUCUGGACCAUCCGUGCGCGCGAGAGGAGAUCUGGGCUGUUGGAUCUAUUGGCACGCGAAUCACCUGCGUGGAUGCAUGUCUGACACGUGGCGCACGACGAUCGGCUGCGCUGCUGACGUGGCAGUCCACAUGGUCAAAUUUAUGUUAUUUUCACUUUUACUCCAGUUUUUCAAAUUUCUUUUCUAAUAUGUUAUCUUUUAUUUCUACUCUGAUCCUGAUUUUUAAAAAUAUUUUUUAAAUACACCUAAAACACAAUUUUUUUUCAAAAUUUUAAAUAAAAAAUGGAAAUUAAUUUUUAUGAAUUUACUUAUUAUUAAAAUUGAUUAUCUCGGGCCUAAAUCCCUAGCCCAGGUGUUAUAUCUGUGUCUUCCCCUCAGUAGUGGGCAACUUCAGGCCCCUGGUCCCGCAUUGUAGACCAGCACCUACUAUACUGAACCAGUAGAACAAGAGACCAAAGUUCGCACCCCAAGUUCCUCCUCAGGCCCUGAUAGUAGGAUGUAAUAAGAUUUAUCAGUACUGUAGUAAGGAUCAUAGAGACCGACCAUGUUGUCACCUCAACAAUGCCUGUCACAUAUGCAGGAAUGCCUAACACUACCCGAGAGGGUGUUCGAGAAAUUAGAAUAAAAUCAUACUCGUAAUUCAGGACAGAGUUUACAUACUCACUCAGUAAGAUGGUGAAGCUAAUCCAGAUGUGAUAUAGGGCAAAUCCAAUGAAGAGAUUUGUAUCCAAGAUAUCUCUAUUGUUUGAAACUUUUCAGACAUAUUCCCUAUUGAUCUACCAGGACUGUUAGUGGAUCAAGAAGUAGAAUUUACUAUUGAUCUUCAUCCUGACACCCAACUCAUCUCGGUUACCCCUUCAAAUAGAAGAAUUGAAAAAACAUAUCAAGGAGUUACAAGAUAAUAGUUUCAUUCGACACAACAUAUCUCCUUGAGUGUCAGAGUUACGUUUGCAAGAAUAGACUAUAGAGAACCGAACAAUGUCAUAAUUAAGAAUAAGUACUCCAUUAUUAGGGAUUGAUGAUAUUUUUAAUUAGUUACAGAGUGUUCAAAUUUUUUUCAAGAUCGACCUGCGUUCAAGAUACCAUCAGGUGAAGAUCAAGGUAAAAGACAUUCCUCAAAUGGCCUUCAGACCCAGUAUGGGCAUUAUAAGUUCCUUGUUAUGUCAUUCAGAUUAAUUAACAUGCAUGCGAUUUCAUGUAUGUCAUGAACAACAGCUUCAGGCCAUUCUUAGACCAAUUUGUCACAGUUUUUGUUGAUGAUAUCCUGAUUUACUAUAAGAGCAGAGAGGAACACACCCAACAUCUGACUCAAGUCUUACAGGUUCUCAAUGAGAAGAAGCUAUAUGCAAAGUUGAGUAAGUGCAUAUUCUAGUUUUAACAGACUAAUAUUCUAGUUUUAGCAAACUUCCUUCCUAGUAAAUAGUAUCGAAAGAUGAAGUGUUAGUGAAUCCAGACAAGAUUGAGGUCAUGGUAGAUUAGAAACAGUUGACCUCGGUCAAGAAAAUUAGAAGUUUUUUUGGUAUAACAGGGUAUUACCGUAGGUUUGUAGAAGGGUUCUCAAGUAUAGCAGCUCACCUAACAUGACUCAUGAAUAAAGAUAUCAAGUUCAAAUGGAAAGAGAAAUGUGAAAGAACCUUUACAGAACUUAAGAAAUGACUUAUUACCACACCAGUGUUGGCUUUGCCGAAUAGAACAGAGGGAUAUAUAGUAUACAAUAUGUGUCCUACUAAGGGUUAGGUUGUGUUUUGAUGCAGCACGGGAAUGUCAUAACUUAUAGGUUCGGACAAUUAAAAGUUCAUAAAAAUAAAUACCUCGCCCACAAUUUGGAGCUUGUCGUAAUUAUCCACGCCUUGAAGACCUGAUGCCAUUACUUGUAUGGGGAAAUAUUUAAAAUUUAUAUAGAGCAUAAUAGUCUAAAAUAUAUAUUCACCUAGAAAGACCUCAACAUGCGUCUGAAGCAUUAGAUAUAACUCUUUAAAGAUUACAAUUGUAAGAUCUUGUACUACCCAGGUAAGGGUAAUGUGGUAGUCGAUGCAUUCAGUAGGAAGAAUACAGGUAUGUUAGCUCAUAUAAUAGUCUCUGAGUGCUGGAUGAUAAAAGUCAGACAACAGAUGUUUAGCUCACUUACCAGUCUAACCCGAAUUAAUCUAGAGAAUAAGGGAGGCUAAGUUUGCUGAUUCCACUAUAAUAGCUUUCAUAUAGGAUUUAGAACAUGGUUCGAAUUCAUAGUUAUGAGUUUCUAUAGAUGGGUUACUCAAGUUUCAGGAUAGAUUGUGUGUUCAUAGUGAUACUGAGUUAAAGAGAGAUAUCAUGAUAGAGACUCACAGUUCAAAGUUUACUAUGCACCCGAGAAUUACAAAGAUAUACUAAAGCAUGCGACCCCAAUUCUGAUGGAGCGGGAUAAAAAGGGAUAUUGCUGAUUUUGUCUCCAAAUACCCCACAUGCCAACAGGUUAAGGCAGAGCAUAAACUUUCAGGCGGGCUACUUUAGCCGCUAAUAAUUCCGGGAUGAAAAUGGGAACAUAUCACUAUGAACUUUUUAAUCGAAUUACCUAAGGCGCGUUCAGGACACGAAGUGAUCUGGGUAAUUAUUAAUUGACUCACUAAAUCCUCCCACUUUUUGGUUAUCAGAAUAAUAGAUUCCUUGGACAAACUAGCUAGAUUUUUAUUCAGGAGAUAGUCAGACUGCAUGGAGUUUCGAUGAUAGUGGCAGACAGGGACCUCAGGUUUACCUCUAGGUUUUAGACGAGACUUCAACAAACGAUGAAAAAUAAAUUAUCUCUUAGUACAACAUUCCACCCUCAGAUAGAUGGACAAUCAGAAUGAACUAUUUGCACAUUAGAGGAUAUACUUAGAGCUUGUGUUCUAGAUUUUUGAGGGCACUAUGAUGAUUAUCUACCUCUGGUAGAGUUCGCAUACAAUAACAGUUAUCAGACAAGUAUUGGUAUAACUCUGUAUGAAGCAUUGUACAAUUGAACUUGUUAGUCACCAAUCUGUUGAGAAGAAAUAGAUGAUAGAAAAUUGAUUGGCCUAGAUCUUAUAGAUGAGACCCAGUGAAGAAUGCAAAAAUUAAGAAAAACAAGAAAGAAGAGUUAUGCAGACACUUGAAUUAGAGAUUUAGAAUUUGAGAAAGACGAUCGAGUGUUCCUUAAAGUCAUCCCCCUUAAAGGCAUCACCAAAUUUGGAAGGAGGAAAAAAUUAAAUUCUCGGUUCAUCGGACCUUUUGAGAUUUUAGACAGAAUUGAAAUAUCUACAUAGAGACUAACACUGCCUCCAGAACUAUCUAGAGUUCAUAACGUUUUUCAUAUGUCAAUGAUGCGCAAAUGUAACCCUGAUCCCUCACAUAUUUUGUCUUACAAGCCAUUUCCACUUCAUGAGGAUCUAUCUUAUGAGGAGGUACCUGUUAGCAUUUUGGACUGACAAAGUAAGGUACUUUGCAACAAAAAAAUUUUCUUUAUCAAAGUUCUAUAGCAAAAUUACUCAUAGGACGAGGNNNNNNNNNNNNNNNNNNNNNNNNNNNNNNNNNNNNNNNNNNNNNNNNNNNNNNNNNNNNNNNNNNNNNNNNNNNNNNNNNNNNNNNNNNNNNNNNNNNNNNNNNNNNNNNNNNNNNNNNNNNNNNNNNNNNNNNNNNNNNNNNNNNNNNNNNNNNNNNNNNNNNNNNNNNNNNNNNNNNNNNNNNNNAUCGCAACAUAUGAUGUCCCUAUUCUAUAUGAUAUUAUAUCCCAUUGUUAUUUAUAGUUUUGUCUCUUAACAAAUAUUGAAGCAUGGAUUUCACUUUCUUAUAUUUGUGAAAUAUGAGUCUUAUAUGUUAUUGGUGGCUAGAUAAUAAUGAAAACUAUGCAUGCAUAAACCAACAUUGUUGAAUUAAAGCUUUACCAAGUGUCAUGAGAAAGAGUGUACAAACCUGGUAUAUAGGGUGAUCUUACAGGGGAUGUUAUCCUCAACCAAACGGGACUGUGAAGUCCCAUACCAGGUAAGGUUGAGAGUUUAUACAUGUUGCAUAUACUGGACGAUGUAUUGAAGCGGUUUCUAAUUGUGGUGCCCAUUACCAGAUGGGGUACGAGGAUGACUGUUUGAUUAAAAAGAAAAUGUUUGUAUCCAUGUGUAGCGAGGAUCCUUAUAGACCCCCAGUGACACCAGUUGGGAAAGGUAAAUGAUAUAGUAGUGAUAGACAUGGUAAUGAUUCAGCUUUGAAAAAAUAGUGAAGAGUCAAAUGUUAUACGUAUUUUAGUAUGUAUAUGGUUAGAUUAUCAUUAUGAUUUUUAUCUUAAUAUAUGACAUUUGAAAAGUUACAAGUUAGUUGAGAAAAUAAUAAUAUUUUCAGUUAAACGAAUAAUGAAUGCAAUAGUAUUCGAGUUUUCUUAAGAAUAAACUCCAUUGAAUGUUUUAUGUUUUAUAUUUUCUACAACCCUUUGAUUUUCUAUAUCAGAGGUAAAACGUUGAUAUUUUUAUUGAGGUAAUGUAGUUUAUCCUUUUUUUAUUAAUUAUUUCAAAUCAGAACGAUCAAAACUCGGAUCCUUAACAGUAAGAUACCAGUUAAAAAAUUACCCAUUCUACUUUGCCAGUUUUGAGUAGAGGAUAACCAUAAUUAUUUUCUUUUUAUGUUUUUCCUGUUUAAGUUUCAAAAGCUUCUCAUAUUCCUAUUAAACAUUUGAAGUAAUGUGCAAUGAUUGUAAUUUAAAAACAUUAAUUGCUUCCAUUAAAAUAAUAAAUUUUAGUAUUGUCAUCUUACUAUUAUUAAGUUAUAUGCUCAAAAUCUCUAAUAAGAGUUUGCGGUUUUACAUCGAUAUAUAUGUGUGUAUAUUUUGUUGAAAUAUUUGUAGAUAUAUAUAUAUAUAUACACGUUUUUAUGUAGAAAAACAAACAUUUUUAUUACAACCAAAUGGUUUUUGUGUACUAUUUGGGUCGGGCCAAGAUUAUGUCAAAUAAGGUAUAAGGUAUAUGAUGUGAAUAAUAAAACAAGUACAUAUUAUAAGCCCAUGAUCCUUUUCAACAACAACAAUGAUAAUAAUAAUUAUUAAAUUCACUAAACUUUUUUUUUUUCAAAUUUAAUACUUGUAUUUUCAUUUGUUUAAUUAUUUUAAACUAAAUUAUUAAUUUUUGCAUGUUACUGUUUCAAUUUUUUUAAAAAAUUUUUAUCUUAAUUUAUCUUUAUUUACCUUUGACCAUAUAUAAGAAAAACGAAAUUUAUAAAUAAAUAUCAAGUAAAAUAUUUUUUUAAAUAAAACCUAACCCAUGAUUAUAUAUAUAUAUAUAUAUGUUUUCUUAUUUAAAUUAAAUUGAAAUCAUUAUAUAUGUAGUCUUAAGAAUUUAAAAUAUAUAUAUUGAAGUAUAAAUUAAUAUUUGGGGUGGUAAAAAAUCAAAAAAGAAAGCCUGCAAAAACCUAAGACUCUGUUAAAGUUCUUUUUCAAGUGGGUGUACAGGCGGAUUGGAUUAUGGACUUAAUAUAUAGUGCAUCAAAAGCUCCAAUUGGCGGCUUAAAAGCAAAGGAAUCAAUAGACACAUCACACUAUCCCAUAUUCCUUUCUUUUCAUAUAUAUAUAUAUACACACACACACACACACAUAUAAAUUAUCAAAUUAAUUUUCAAAAUUUAACAUUUCAUAUAAUUUAAUCUUUAAUAUAUAUUUUUUAAAAUUUUAUUUAUAAUAUUUUUUAUUUGUUUUUAAGCUUUCACUUAGUACUCAACCAUUGCCACUCGUAUAGAUAUAUGUACCUUUUUAUAAAUGGUAUUCGCUGUAUAAGACAAUUUUAUUAAUUUAAUUGAUUAAUCAAGUUAUUUUAAAAAUAAUUAAAUGUAACUAAUUAUUUUAUUUUUCUUAAUAAAAAAUAUAAAAAAUAAAUAAAAAAUUGUAAGGAGAAAAAAAUAUUAAAAAUGAAUUAUUUAAAUUUUAGAGAUUAAUAUAAUAUUUUUUAAUAAUAAAAAAAUUAUCAAAAAUAUAUAACUCAAAUAAUAUAAAACUCCUUGCUCUUUACCUCAAUAGAAAAAUCAAAUUUAUUUUAUUAACAAAAUUAUGAAAAGCAUGUAAUAUCAACCUUGCUAUUAUAAUAAUUACCACGCUUUUUCUAAAUUAAUUUUAAACAAAUGAAGAAUAAUAAUAUAGUUUAAUCUUGUGUUAUAUACAUAAUUAAUUUAUACAUAUUUUUAUGAUUUAUUCUUAAUUUUAUUAGCAUAAUUACAAAUUAGAUUAUAUAUUAUUAUUAUUUUAAUUAAAAAAUUAAAUUAUUUUUCACGCGAGAAUGAUUUUAUUUACAGAGUAAGUUACUGUGACUUUGUCGAUAGUGAAAAAAAAUUUACUAUAAAUAACCUAGUCAAGCUCCUCGUAUUUCACCGACCCGUUAAAAAUCUCCCUUUAGAAUAUUUGGUCAAAUCAAGUAAGAGCUACGCAGGGACAUUACGGUGUACCUCAUUAUCAGUCUUCGAUCAGCCAAUCAUCUACCGCCACGUAGCCCUUUUGACUCGAGGGGAUAAUAGGUCAUCAACAAUUUGCAAAAACAUUGGUGCACAAUGAGUAGUUCAGUGGAUUUAUAAUAGAGGAAGAAAACCAUUGUUCCCUUGUUCUUACUGAGUCCAUUUCUGACAAAGCAGACAAAUUUUACUGACAAGAUUCGGGCUCAAAAUCUCACUUUAUCUGUUGAGUCUUGACUGAGUUGACUCGGGGGAAAAAAAAAAGAAAAUAGGAGGAGAGAUAAAAGGAAAUAAGGAAUUCUUUUGGUAUAUAACAUUAAGACCCAAAAGGAAGUAGAAGGGAGAAAAGGAGAAAGCGUCAAGAUCGAGUCUAAUCUAGGGUUUCUUUCAGAUUUAUCCUUCUUCUCGAAUCUCUCCGUGUGCUCAAGUUGAGUCUUACGGAGGAAAAGAAGAUAUUCCUGAAGCUCGGUGUUGAUUGAUUGUUUCAGUCGAGGUAUCAUCUCGCUUUGCUCUUUUUUUUUUUUUUUCGUUUGGAUUUUUUCGGAGUUUUCUGUUAUCUUUUUUUUCCUACUCUUCUGAGGAAGAAGUCUCCGUGCGUACUGGAAAAGGUGGAGAAAUUGCUUGAAGUUUGAGUGUUUUUGACUUGAGUUGAGUGCGGCUUUGAGUUGUUGCGUUGUGAAACUGGUGUCGGUCAGUGCCGGUUUUUUAUGUGGAACUUGAUACGGAAUUUGUUGUUGCUGAUUUUCCUGCAUUUUCAGAGGAAACAAACGGAUUUUCGGGGAGUCGAUAUUGAUUUGUUUGAUUUUUUUGCAGGAAGGGUUUGGGUGGUGGAGAAUUGGAGAACAGUGAUAGGUAGAGGGCGGCUACCUGGAAGGAUUGGUCGAGUGUUUGUUUGUUUGGAUUGGACGGAAAAUUCAAAUGCCGGACGAGGACUUGGUUGAGCUUAAAUUCCGAUUAUAUGAUGGAUCAGAUAUUGGCCCAUUCCGGUAUUCCCCUGCAGCCACUGUGGCCAUGCUCAAGGAGAGGAUUGUCUCUGAGUGGCCAAAAGGUAAAUUGAAUUUGAUUCUGUUUUCUCUAAUUGGCUGAAUGAAUUUUUAUUUUCAGCACAUUUUGGUUUCGUGUUGUAUAUUGGUAAGUUCGUGCCUUACUCUUUUGGGUUAUAUAGGAAAAAAUUUAAGAUGGUACAACUGCAAAUUCGGCAUAUAGAAAUUUAGGGUGAUUAGCAUUUAUAGUAUUUACAUAUGCAUGUUAUUGAGUUCCGUUUCUGGUGUUACUUUAUAUUCCAUGUAUUGAUUGUCAUAAAUUUUUUUGAGUGCGAUUGUUUGAUGUAUUCUAUAUUUAGUGUCUAUCCUUGCGGCUUCGAUAAAUUGUUUCAGAAAGAUUUUUGACUUGCCUUGUAUCAUUGGUGUUAGCAUGACCAAAAUUAAUUAAGUUUUGAUUGUUGCACGUUCCAAUUAUGUACGGUUGUGUUAAGUUUUCGUUACCUAUCCAUGCAGUGGGAAAUUGUUUGGGAUCUUCUCUUUAUUUUUUGUGGAAGCUAUUAGGUUUGUGAUAGCAUUUUAAUAUAGUUGAAGUUUCUGGUAAAAUAGCUAUCAAUACAAUCUAUCUCUUGCCUACUGGCUUUGUAAUGGAAGAACCAGUCACAUGCAAUGUGGGAAGAUGAAUGUAAUGUGCAACUUUCUGUUUGCUCCCUCAUUAUAAAGGUGGAAAUUUGAUUGUAAUUUUAACAAAGUAUUUCUUAUGCUUUUAAUUAAUAACAUGAUAUUAAACACUCUCUUUGGUGGGUCACCAUCCUGGUUUUCGCUUUGCGCUCUCUGCCAAAUUACAAUGCUGUGCUUGCCUAUGUUGGGCAGACCCUUGCAUCCAGGAAAGAAAUAAUUUAUCCAGCAUCAUCCUUCCCUUAAAAAGGGAGGAAGAAUGCAGAUAUGGAAAGUAGAAGGAACUGAAGGGGAAACGAUCAUGAUCUUUUAUUUUUUAUGGCAUAUAAAUUUAUUUAUGUUUGUGAAUUGGAAACCAAAACAGACAUUUAAGAAUAACAGAUUUUCAAGGAAAACUAACUGUCAGCCAUGUAAAAUAGGUUUUAGAAAACUUAUGAAUUUGCUUAGCUGCCUGUCCAUCUAAUUCAUACUCUAUGUAUGGCACGUUAUUUUUUGAUUGAUUAGCUCUGUUCCUUUUCAGAUUCCAUAAUUUUCAGUGAACUUGGUCAUCCAAUCUGUAUAGAUGUUUAUCAACUGUCAUUUUGUUGAAUCUGUAUAAGUGUCUAUCAACUGUCAUUUUGUUACAAAAUUCCUUCGGCAUUCUACUGCCGAAAAAAAUGCAUCUCAAUGGAUAUCUGCAUCUCAAUGGAUAUCAUAAAGAUAUUGCCAAUGGAUUCUAACACCUACUUAUAUGUGUCAUGAUUCCCUAGUCACAUCACCCCUCCAGUUGGAGCUAAUAGUCAAAACUCGACUGCUGUGCACAUUUGUGUUUCUCUCCUUUGCAAUAGACUGCUGCUCUUUUCAUAUGCAUGCAUGUAUUAAUAUUAUGUCUAUUAGAUGUUUAGACAGUAGGUACCUUGCCAUGCACUCCUUGAAUCUUGUAUGACAUAAUGACACUUUUUGUAUAUGGCAAUAACAUUUUUUCCUCUUUGAGAGACAGUGCUUAUUUUGUUGAAUAAUGCAAUUUUUGGAAGGUGUUUUGUUGACUUUAAGGCUAUAUUUUGUAUUUUGAGAUGAGUAGGAUAAGGGUGUCUUUUGCUACACUAGUAUUUGGGGUCCAAGAUGGAUAAAGAGAGGGUGCAUACCCUACAUUGGAUAAGAUAUGCCAUGACAUUUACCUAAAUCUCCUUAGUCAUUAGUAACUUAUUUACAUCAAUAACUUUUAUUUAUUCAAGAAAAAAAUAUUUGUGGUUCCAAGUCCUAAUUUUUUUGUUAGGGGCUAGCCUUUGUAUUAUGUUGAGAAUCUUGGGAACCUAAUAGACAUUUCGUUUGAGAUAUAAAUGCUUUUGUACAUGGGUUGUUUCUCUUGGUGCUCUUUGAAUAUAUCUCUUCUUUUAGGAAAAAAAUAUUUGUGGGAUUAUCAUAUUGGUGUAUCAUAUCUUGAAGUGCUUGAUUCAAAGAUAUUAUAGUUUUUUCUUCAGGUAUUCUCUAUCCUUUUGAUGCAUUAGUUUUUAUAAUUAACAUGAAAAAAAAAAAACAACAAUCCUGUUCCUUAUUAUGUGCCAAAUAGAUGGUGGGAUAAAUGCUUAUUUAUAAUUUAGUUUCUCUAUUUACCUGCUGUAUCAUAAACUAUUCAGAAUGCUAAGCAUGACCUGAGAAGAUUGUGCUAUCUGGCUGCGCUAUUUGGUCAUUCUAACUGCAUCUUAGGUUUCUUGGAUACACCAGAUUGAUCUUCUCAUAACAUAUUGCAAUUCUUUGUUACAUCAGAUUGACAAUUGUUUUAUCGGAUUGAAACAAAUUUUUGUUAAGAAAAACAUAAAUGAUUAUGAUUAUUGAUUGUUCAUGAUCUCGACGGCACAAAUGCUUUGCUUUUGGAUUAGACUUCCCCCUCUGAUAUGAUAUGAUGUUGAAUUUUCCUGGAAUUGAUGCUUAGGUGGUAUUGUGAUAUUUCUUUUACAUAUUCUCUAGAAAAUUAUUUGAGCUCCUUUUGUGAUGUCCUCUGGCUUCAAUCUCAUGGAUAUAUAUUCUUUAUUGAUCUAUUGUAUUUUCUUGUUGUGGGCUGCCUAUAAGAUUUUGUGGUUCAUGAUGUGAAGAUGUUGUAGAACUUAAGUAGUUUGAAAUUUUAGGUUAUUAUUGGAACUUAUCUCAAAAAGGUUAUUAUUGGAACAAAAAGUAACUGAAAACUGAAUUAUUGUGCUGCAUAUUAUUUCUAUUUUAAGAUGGACCUAGUUGAUAGGAGGAUUUGGAUUUCCUUUAUAAGGACAAUUUGAUGAUCCCUCUUCGUGGUUUAAUGGUACUCUUUUGUAGUGAUGUAUUAUUUGAAUGCAAGAUAUCAUUUUGACAGCCUGCAAAAUUUGAACCUGUCCAUCUUAAUACAGACCCCAGGGCAUGCUGCUAGUUGAAUUGCUAUUAUAUCUUUCAUUUUUCCGCCCUUUCUUUCAUCCUAUAUGUUUCUUCUGUGCCCCCGUGGUCUAUUUUGCUUCAAAUUAUUGCUUCUUACUAAACUGUCUCCAGAUCUCUUAAUUGAUGUGACAUUCUUAUUGUGUCACAAAAAAAGUAGUAUUAUUCAUAUGGUAAUUUUAUUAAGUUGUUUACUCUAUUUAUUGAUUUGUGGUCAUCUAAUAAAAUCUAAAUUUCCUGAUCUGUUCUAGACAAAAAAAUUGCUCCCAAGUCAGCCAAUGACAUCAAGUUGAUUAGUGCUGGAAAAAUUUUGGAAAACAACAAGACUGUCGGGCAGUGUAGAGUACCUUUUGGCGAGCUUCCAAGAGGGGUUAUUACCAUGCACGUCGUCGUGCAGCCAUCUGUAACAAAGGCUAAAACAGGUAGUUCUCAUACUGACGCAUUGCAUAUGCAAACGAUAUUCGUGGCAUACUAAAGAUAUAUCUCAAACAGAUGAACUUUUCUUGUGAAAUUCAUUUAGAAAUCCACAUUUAUUUUUAAUUAGAGGCCAGCAAAUAUUCUUCCUAAAAUGAUGAAAAUUGACAUCCAGUACCAUUCUGAAUAGAAGUCUAAUUAUACUUUACGAACUCAUUGAAGUUUAAUCUUCAGAAGGGAUUUUCUCCCCUCAAAUGAAUUUGCAAACAAGAUUCACUUUCUCCCACGCCGCUCCCCUCCUCAAAUGAUAGCGUAAAAACUCUUUAUUUCCGAACAUUGGACAUUAGCAAGUAGUUAAUAUUUAGACAUGGGGCUUAUAUUUUCAACCAGAACUAUGCAUAUUGCGGUGUUAGUUAUUUUUAUUUAGGGUUGAUAUAUUAUGGUUGCUGCUUGCAUAUAUUUACUAAUAACUUAAAGAAUAUGGGCUCUUUCUUUUUGUUGAAUAAGCAGAAAAGAAGGUUGAUGAGGCCCCUAAGAAAACUGUAUGUUCCUGCACCAUAUUGUGAGAGGGAUCGAGUCCCUGAUCCGAGCUUAGGGCACUUGGAUUCUUCUCUCCUGGGGUCUCUGUACACAAAAAGGGUAAGCUUGGAUGGGCAGAAAAUAAUUUGUAAAACAGUUUGCCAUUCAUGGUGGUUGCAUGUUUGUGGGAGGAGGGCAUUUGUGUAACAUCAGCCCAUGUUGGUGAUCUAUUCUCUUCAGUUUUAAUAUAUAAAGAAAAGAAGUGUUUGAUGUAUUUGUCACCUGGCUCUGUUCUCUCCUUCCAUUUCUUUUUUUUUUUUUUCUUUAUAUAUAAUUCUGUUACAUAUAUAUAGGAGGAAGUUUACAGUGAGUAGGAGUUUUAUUGUCUUUGCCUGCCUUUACCCAAAAUCAUAGGAGUGGAUAUGGGGUCAUGAAAAUUUAUGGGACCCUAUAAAUUUCUUAUUUAUUACAUAUCGGAUAAAUAUAUAUUUGUAAAAACAAAAGCCUGUUGUGGUUUGAUCAUGUCAUGAAUUAUGUUUCUGUAUUUCUCUUUUCCUUGUUCAUGGUGUUUUUUUUUACAGGUAAGAACUUGACCAAAGAUGACAUUGGUUGUGAUUGCCGUUUCUUGGGUAAUUUUUUUUUUUUUUUACUAUUUUUAUUUGUAUCUCUUUUAUGUCACUUGGUACAUUUUUACUUCGGUUAAAAAUUUGAAUUUUAUAUAAAUAUAUGUUAGGUUAUACUAAAAAAAUUAGAAAAAAAAAAAAAAAAAAGUUAAACCAGGUGUAUGGUUCAAGAACUAGGGAAGCAGUAAUUUUACCCUGUAAUAUAUAUACCUCAAAAAAAAAUCAAAAAGUAAUUUUUUCAAAUUAAUAUUUUUCGACGUAAAUAAACAGUAAAUAAAUUAAGAUUUAACCUAAUCCUGUAAUUAAUUGAAGUCCUUUCUACACAAAUGAUGGACUCAAUUAACUUAAUCCAUCCCCGUCUCCCUUGCACUUUCCUCUUUUUCUUCUUUCCUUUACCCACUACAUACAGAAUUUCAACAGAAAAGAAAGGAAAAUAAAAUAAAAUAAAAAACAUUAUAAUAAUAGUAAUAAUAAUAAUAAUAAAGAGAUUUGUAUAUUUAAUAAUAUUAAUAAUUAAAAUAACUGUAAUUUUAAAUUUAUGAGAAAUCAUCAGUACGUGAUCGUCAUCUUCCUCAACAUCGCCAUGCAGAGGCAGCAAGAAUAGCUCUGUCUUGCCAUCCUAAAAGCAAGCAACCCUUGUCUUCCGUCAACCUGUAUCCAUCACACGAGUACAAACCCAGUAAGAUCUUCGACUGAGUCACCGCGUUCGCACUGAGUGGAACCCCUUUAAACCCUUUUCCUUCCAUUAUCUUCCUCCACUUCUCCAACCUCUCGUGUCUAUCGAUCCUCUCCGCUCCUUCGCACGCCACAAUAUUCCUUAUCUCCGGCGCAAAUAUAUACUGCUCUACCUUCGCUCUCUGCGCCGAAUCCGGCGGAAAUGUCGCGUCCAACGAGUCAAAAAUCGCCGAGUAGUAAUGUAGAGCUUCAAGGAACCGGCCUAAGAAGUAAGGUCCGUUAUGGUUAGCUUCUUUCUCAACGACUGUAACAAUGUUCGGCGCUUGGUCACGUAUCAUUGCUAGAAGGUUGCCGAGACAGUUUCCCGGAACUCGGUGGAGCCGGUUGACGGCGUUGACGGCGAGAGCCUCGCCCACUCGUCGAUUAAACAUGUGGGGUUUUAUCUCCUCCAGUGGCUCACCGAUUGGGUGGAACUCGAAUGGGAUGUGUAGAGACUGAGCUAACUCGGCCAAACACCGACCCGUUUCCCUGACGGACUCGAUCGGGUACCCAACUCCGGUAAUCCUCAAAAAGAGAGCUCCGCCGGGUCGGGCGGCUAACGCUUGCAUGAAAGCUGGCCAUUGGUAUCCCUGGAGGAUAUCUAAAUCGAUGACGUGAACUCGUUCUUCGGCUUCGAAGGCUUCGAAGAUGGCUUGGUUUGAGGUGAAGUGGGCGAAUUUGAUGUAUGGACAAGCUUGGUAGACGAUCUGGUAAAUCUUGAGGAUUUCAACGGAGUUUGGUGGGAAAUAGGAGGAGAGGGAUUUUGGGGUUGAGGAUGAGGAGGAGGAGGAGGUGUGUGUGGCGAUGGUGGUGGUGGCGGCUGUGGGUUUGGUGGUUAGGGUUGCGGCGAGUCGAGCGCUUAGAGCUUCGGUGAAGCACGAGGCGACUCGUUGCAUUGAGUCACCGAGUGGACUCACUACUCUGUUGAGAUGGUGAAGGUAUCUUCUUGCAGACAUGUAGUCUUCUUUAGCUACUGCUUCUGCACAAUAGAGAAGAAGGUGCACCAAUUGCAGUCCACUGUCUUGCUCCUACAUUAAGAGAAAUAAAUAAUAAUAAUGAUAAAACAAUUUUUUUUCUUUAAUUUUUCUAAAAUAAAAUUCUUAUUAAUUCAUAAUAAUAAAUAAUAGAAUAAAAUUAAGUAUAAGUUCAUAUUUAUAUAUGAGUAAAUAUAUAAAUAUUUUUUUAUGAUAAUUCGUUCAAUUAAUUAUAAGAUUAAUAAAUUUUGUAAAUAUUAAUCGAUAAGCUUUGAAUUUUAUUUGUAGAAUUUUUUAGAGUUUAUAAGUUUUGGUAAAUGUUUAAGUUUUGAUUUUCUUUAAUAUUUAUAUAUUAAAAUUCAAAUAAAUAAUUAUUAUGCACUCUUAUAUUAAUUUUUUAAUAUUUAAAAAUUUAUAUAAAUAAUGUUUAAAAUGUUCUCUAUAUAAUGUAUAAAUGUUUAGUUAUAAUUAUCGUCUUAAUUGUAUUUUUAUAUAUUAAAUUUGAACAAAUAAUAUGAAAAUUUUAUCUUUACAUAUAAUAUAUAUUUAUAAUUAGUAUUAACAUAUUAUUUUUUAUAUUUUAAGAAUUUUAAAUAAAUAAAUGUUUUCUAUGAUCAAAUUAUUUUUAUAUUUCAAAAUUACAGUAUAUAAUUUAUAGUUAAUUGAAAAUUAAGUUUUAUUUUUAUAUUUAAAAAACUUAAGAAUAUAUAUACAUAUUAUCAUAUUAAUUUUAAUGAAUAACAUUAAAAAUUUUAUUUCUAUAAAAAUUAAAUAUAAUUAUAAUUAUCGCAUUAAAUGAAUAUAUAUAUUCAAAACUAUAUAAUAUUUGUUAUUUUUCAAAAAAAGAAUUGUAACGUAAUAUUUACUUGAUCAGAACCGAUUGGAAGAGGCAUCACUGAACUAUGAUUCAAACUCUGGUGUUGCUCAGCCGGCGGCGGUGGCGGUCUGAUUUGCUGCCCUACUUGCUGCUGCUGUUGAGUCAUGAAUGGGGGACCAUUAGAACUCGGCCCCGCCUGAUAAAUCUCACCUUCUUGUGCUCCCGCCAUUGAAGAAGAAGAACACAAACCUCCCUGCUCAGUCGUCUUCGUCCCCACCAACCCACAAAACCUCGACGAACCCAUAUCACCAGUUCCAUUAAUCCCAUCAACCGCCCCCGCCGCCUCCAUGUCCGGCAUCUCGUAAAGCUUGUCCGAAGUCGUGGCCAUGCCGGUCGUGGAGUAAUGAUUAUAAUCAUCUAAGAACUCGCCGAUAGCUGGAAGCGACAAGCUCUCAAUCUGCAUGAACUGGUUGUUCGGCGAGUUGAAAACUUUCUGCAGCGGCGACGACAUUCCGGCGGCCUUCCCCGACGGCCUCUGGCUGGUAAGAGCUCCGACUUGAGACGAAAACCGAGGAGGAGAACAGCCGGAAAGACUCUGUCCUUGCAUUGCAUGAACGUAGUUAAAAUUAUAGGUUGAUGCUUGUGGUGAUGCCGGCGGUGGCAAGUUCCUCACCGGAGAUAAGAUCAUGAAGUCGGAGUCUAAAUGCUCGGAGAGGAAGGUUUCCCAGAAGGAGUUUUCUGGUUCCACGUCGCCGUCGAGAUCGAAUUUGAGAGAUGGAAAAUUGAGACACGGUGGGGUUAAGCUACUGGUUUGCUGAUGAUCAAGAUGAUCAGAAGAUAAAGCUGCUGGUUUCUUGUUAGUAGUACUCUGAUCGGAUAGAACGUCGUCGUUUGGUGACGAGGGAUUUUGCAACUUGAUGCAUGAGCCUUCACUCUUGAUAGAACCCAAGCUUCCACAUAGAGAAUUAAUCAUUUUUCCUUCUUCUACAAUAAAUUUAGGCAAUGAUUCUCAAAACCCACAAGACAAAGUUAUAAUUUGACUUGAAAGAAAAUUUUAAAAAACAGCAAUAAUUCUCAAUACCCAAGAUAGAAUAGGAAAGAAGUUGGAAAAUAACAGUAGAAAAUUGAUGUAAUUUUCAAGUUUGUUUAUAAUGAAUUGAAACUUGGGAAAUGGCUUCUUUCUCGAUCUUGAUCUUGAUCUUGUCUUUGAUCUCUUAUUAAGCUUUCUAAUUGUAAUACGUAUAUUUACUAUAUGGGUGUGAGAGGAGGCAAUAGGGUUUGUGGGUGUGUGCUUAAUUAAUUUAAUUUUAUUGAUUCAUUAGAUAUUGAUGUCUAAAAAAAAUAAUUUAAAAAAUUAUAAUCUAACGGUUAAAACAACAGUUCUUAAAACUAAUAUUAUAAGUUUGAAUUAAUUAUCUUGUGAUAAAUCUGCAUUGUGUGAUAAAGAAUUAUAAUUAGCCAGAGACAAAACCCUAAUCCAAUUUCAUGUGAUUGGAGGUAUGUGAUGAAUAAUCACCUUCUUUGAUAAUGUUUAAGCUGUUCUCUAUGAUCCUAAUUUGGAUUUUUAGGGUACCCGUUUUAACUGUUUUGAAAAUUAAUGGCCUGUGAUGGCACUAGAUGACAAUUUAGUUGCUUUGGGGCCCACUAAUUCCUUGGGCCGGCCCAUAUGAGAACAAGGUAAUUGGAAUAUGUGGACACUUUUCAUUAUUAUUAUAUAAUAUCAUGUAUAAUAUAUAUAUAUAUAUAUAAUAUGGUUGUAAAUUGAGAUUAAUUAAUUAAUUAAUUAAUCAUAUCUUUUUUAAGAGAGUAAAUGAGUGGUUUGUGGAGGGUGGUCAAUGGGAGAAUGAUAAGUGGACGCUGAAUGCGAGCCUAGGAAUAACAUUUUUUUACUUAAAUUUCAUAAUUUUGAGUCAAAUUAUAUUUAGAUGAGUCAUUUUUAAAAUGAGUCAUAUUUAAGUUUGACAUAUUAAUAUAAAUAAUUUAAAAGUUUAACAUAGUCUAAUUAUAUUUAUUUUAUAUUUAGAUUCAUGUAGUAUAAAAAUCGGAUUCAAAUUUGAUAAAACUCGAGUAAAUUCAAAAUUUAGUGAAAUUUGCUCCAAAUCUGCUUCCCUCCGACCUCCUCCGAAAAUUAGAACUUGUAAUUUUGAUAAGGGAAUUAAGGAAGUAUAAAGUUUUAAGAAUGUAUUUUUUUGCACUUAUCAAAUCCAAUUUAAUAUAACAAGAAGAUGAUAUGAUAUUCUGUUGAAUAUGAUAUAUGAUAUAAUUAUUAUAAUAAUUACCAAUUACAAUAAGUAAAUAACUAGAGUAGAAGUACAAGUGGGUUCAGAGGAUACACAAUAUAUACAUAAUAUUAGACUUAGAAGGGGAUUUCAACAAUGUGUAAUCUUGGGAAAGUGACUUCUAACAAUGCAUACACAAUUAUAUGUAUAUAUAUAUAUAUAUAAAUAAAAUAUACAUAUACAUACAGGAAAAUUGUUAAUCUUACACCAAAGAAUAAUACUUCAACAGCUUUCUUUUGUUUGUGUUUAUUUUUGUAAAAAAAAAAAAAAAAAAGAUUUAGAAUUCGAAUUUUAUAUUUUGAUUCCUCAAUAUUUGUCAAUUAUAUAAGAUUAAAUUAUCAAUUUUUAUUUUGAGCUUUGUUGACUUUCAAUUAUUUAAGUACAUAUAUAUAUAUAUAUAUAUAUAUCUUUUAACAUUCGGAUCACAAAAAUUUGAUCUUUUCUUUUUUUGGUUUUAUUUUUAGUUCUUUUUGUUCUCUAAAUAAUUCUUAAACUUAUUACAAAUUUCAUCAAAUUUAAUUUAAUUUAAUUUAAAACAUACUUUAUUUCAAAAUAAAUUUUAUAAUUUAAAAUCACAUUGUACUAAUUUGGAUAAAUAAAAUUUAUAUAUACAACAUAUAUAUUGAGUAAUUAAACAUGGUUAAGAAUAAUUUUAAGCACAAAAAAAUUCGAUCAAUAAAUAAAAUUUAUAAUGUUUUAAUGGUAAAAUAUCCAUAAAUGAUUACAAUAUAAUUCUCUACAUAUGUCUGUGUAAUCCUUAAUUAAGAUGGAGAUAUAUAUAUAUAUAUAUAUGUAUAUAAUUGUUGGUGUGAGGAGGAAAUGAGGUGGAAGGAGUGGGGAAAGAAAAAGGACAAGAGAUGGAGACUUAGCCUUGAUCGUCACACAUGGCGUCGGUGACGCCGCCUACUCUUUGGAUUUGCCAAAGGAUUUGAGUGUUUGUCUCCAACCUUUUCCCCCCGUUAGGCGGCAUCUCCCCCCUUUCUCAUCAUAUAUAUUCACAUAUACACUAUAUAUAUGUAUAUAUAUAUAUAUAUAUAGGUUUCCAUGAAUUUUUAUCUCAUACUCUAUAUGCACAUAGGUAUAUACACAUUUAUGCUACUACACUACAUUGUUAAUGGUUGAUGUACAUUGUAAAUUUGAGUCGGUUUAGGCUCUUUUAUAUAUUCUCAUUUAAACUAUACUGUAUUAUAAUUGAUAUGUAUUUAUUUUGUAUUUAAAAAAAUUAUCAUAACUAAAUGAAUUGUUAUUAUAAAAAUUUGAGGAUGCAAGAGUAGAUUUUUAUCAACUCCAUAAAUUUUUAGUAUAAGAAUUUUAAAAAACUUUAAUAUAAUUAGUUUACUCAAAUUUUUAUGACACAAAUUGCAACGGCCCGUAAACUUGGAAGAAAAUAAAUUAUGAAUUAAAUGCGGAAGCGAAAUAAAUAGUUAAGGUUUACAUUCGUUACACAAUAAUUCAAAUUACUCAAUAGGGAUACGUAAAUGAUAUUUUUAAAAAGAAAUAACAAAAAAUUUAAAAAAUAAAUGAAAAAUAAACAAUUGGGCAUCAUACUCACAAUCCUCUUGUAGAUCGAGUUCUGAAUUUUGGUCCUCUUAAUCUGAAAUGGUUAAUAAAAGAGUGAGAUAUACUAGUUCAGUAAGAAUAUUACGAUACUCACCGACAUGGAAGUGAAUGUUGGUAAAAAAUCAGGAAACAACUAAUGAAACUCUUAAUUUAAGUAAAUUUGUUUAUCAUAAAUAAAAUCAUUUACCGCAUACUUAUCGUAGUGAGAUUUUCAAAACCAACCUAUAGAGUUAAUAUGUAACACCCCAACCCUUUUUUUUAUUAUUUUAUUAUUAUUAUUAUUAUUGUAAUUAUUAUAUGAAUAUAAUUAUUAUUUACGUAAUUUUAUAUUGAAUUUAAUUUAGUUUAAUUUAUUUUAAUAGAAAUAAUAAUAAUAAUAAUGGAUAAAAAUUAUUUAGGGAUUUAAUUGAGACAUUUUGGAAAAAAUGGGUAAAAAUUCUACCAUUUGCUCAAAUUUGAUUCUAAACCCACUAUAGCCAAAUCAGAGCGGAGCACAGCCAAUUGGCGAAAAACGCCGCCGAANNNNNNNNNNNNNNNNNNNNNNNNNNNNNNNNNNNNNNNNNNNNNNNNNNNNNNNNNNNNNNNNNNNNNNNNNNNNNNNNNNNNNNNNNNNNNNNNNNNNNNNNNNNNNNNNNNNNNNNNNNNNNNNNNNNNNNNNNNNNNNNNNNNNNNNNNNNNNNNNNNNNNNNNNNNNNNNNNNNNNNNNNNNNNNNNNNNNNNNNNNNNNNNNNNNNNNNNNNNNNNNNNNNNNNNNNNNNNNNNNNNNNNNNNNNNNNNNNNNNNNNNNNNNNNNNNNNNNNNNNNNNNNNNNNNNNNNNNNNNNNNNNNNNNNNNNNNNNNNNNNNNNNNNNNNNNNNNNNNNNNNNNNNNNNNNNNNNNNNNNNNNNNNNNNNNNNNNNNNNNNNNNNNNNNNNNNNNNNNNNNNNNNNNNNNNNNNNNNNNNNNNNNNNNNNNNNNNNNNNNNNNNNNNNNNNNNNNNNNNNNNNNNNNNNNNNNNNNNNNNNNNNNNNNNNNNNNNNNNNNNNNNNNNNNNNNNNNNNNNNNNNNNNNNNNNNNNNNNNNNNNNNNNNNNNNNNNNNNNNNNNNNNNNNNNNNNNNNNNNNNNNNNNNNNNNNNNNNNNNNNNNNNNNNNNNNNNNNNNNNNNNNNNNNNNNNNGUAUUUCAAUCAUCAAGCAAUAAUUUUCCUCUUAUCAGUCUACUAGUAUCCAUAGGGAUCCAUAGGGGUCCUGCUACAUGUGAACCGUUCACAUUAAUAACUUAAUUCCAUGGCCGUCCCCAUACCCUGUCCGGUAUGGGUGUCAAAAUCAUAAACCUCAAUACCUCGUCUGGUAUGAGGGUGAAACGGACAGUCCCCAUACCCUGUCCGGUAUGGGCGCCAAAAUACAUAAAAUCUUCAUACCCCGUCCGAUAUGAGAGACCACGUUCCCGGUAAGGUUCCCUAUGGACCUGGUCCGUCCAUCAUCUCCCAGGAUAUUUAGUGAGACUGUAGACAUUAUCCAUUAUCAAUUCACAUGGUUUUUUUACCAUUUUUCUUAAUUUCAAUUAUCCAAUUAAACACAAACAAGUAAACCAGUAAUGGACACAAAAUAAGGCAACACAACAUCGAGUUCGCAAUAAUUCAGAGCAUAAUAAAUGAAACUUUGAUUCAUGCAUAUGAAACCAUAGAAUAAACACAUCAGGUACCAUACUGCAUUCAAAACUGUAAAAUAAAUCAAACAACACCUGACCGAAAAUAUAUCAGAUUCGGGCUCCAUUAUCAACCUUAAUCAAUUAUACAUAUCUAUUAAUUCAUAAAAUACCGUUUUAUCAUUUAUUAGGUUUUAAUGCCGUGAUAAGAAAUAGGGUGAGAGAUCUUUACUUGUUUUGGAGUCUGAAAUCGGGUUCUCACUACGCCUACGGGCAGUCCCUAGAUUCCUUGAUUUUUUUUUCGGAAACUGAAACACACUUCUGGUACCUGCACAUGUCCCCAAAAACCCUAAAUCAGACCCAGAGCCCUUUCGGCCAAUUUCAGAAUUCUGGCACGGCAGCUCUGCCGUGCUUCGGUGACGGUGCCGCCGCCCACGGCGGCGAUCCGCCUCGGGUUGGCCGUUUUCGGUUGAAUUCGGCCAAACUUGCAUUGGUUUCUGUGAUAAAACACCCCUAGGGCCCUCGGUGGGCCAAAAAAUUCUAGAAAAUCGAGACUUACCAGCGGCGAAGCUCUCGGGUAUGGCGGCUCCUCCGGCGCGAGUUGCAAUUCGGUGUUUUGCUCCAGUCAACCUGUAGAGAAAAGUACGGUGGUCACAGUGGUAUAAAAAUUACAUUGAACGGAAAACGGGAAGGGCCUCAUCAGAGGCAAAAAUUGAGGAAAUCUGUGACAGCACCACUAGACUUCGGCGGUGUUUUCUAGCCAAUUGGCUGGUGGUUUAGCUUCGAUUUGGCCACAGGGAGGUUCGACAUCGAAAAACGAGCCAAGGGGAGAAAUUUUACCUCGUUUGGCGACCGGAAAGUCAUCCGGUGCGGCGGCGGGUGGCGGCGGCCGGUUUCCCCGGUGGCUGGAUCGUCUUCUUUGGCGAUGGUUCUAGCGGCUAGGGUUUGGGGUUGGGUGUGGAUGCGAUUAUUUAUAACCCUCCCAUUUUAAUCUGAGUCGUCUAUCAUGAUUUAAUCUGGACCGUCAGAUCGUGAUUAAAUUAUAAAUAAAUCUGGACCAUCCAUCGCGAUGCGAUUUGGGCCGUCCGUGCAUGAUCAAAUUUGGGUCGUCCGCACUCGUGAGAUCUGGGCCGUCCACGCGCGCCUUUGAUCUGGGUCGUCCGUGCGCGCUGGAAGGGAUCUGGGCCGUCCGAUCGCGCGCACGCGGAUCGCCAACGUGUCUCCGUCCCGCGUGGCUUCCUGUGUCAGCGUCCCAGCCACGCGACGUGUCAUGGUUGGUCGGGGCUGCUGACCGGGCUGCUGACGUGACACUAUUUUUCUAAAUUACGUUUUGACCCCCGAUUUUCGAUUUUCUUUUCAAAAACACCCCCAGAAUCCAAAUUUUCAUCCAUUUUCCCCAAAACCAAUUUCAAUUAAAUCUCAAAAAUAAAUUUACCCUAUUUUAUUAUUAUUAUUAUUAUUAUUUUUAUUUCUGUUAAUUUAAAUUAAAUUAAAUUAAAACCUUAUAAAUUAAAUAUUAAAAUAGAAUAAAAUUAAACGAAAAUUCCAAUAAAAUUAAAAUAAAUUAAAAAAUAAAAAUAAAAUAAAAUACAAAUUUUUUGGGUGUUACAAAUUCGGCCAAAAACGGCCAAAAAUAGCUAACCCGAGGCAGAUCGUCGCCGUGGCAGAAUUUCGAAAAUGGCCGAUUAGGCCCUUGGUAUGAUUUUUGAGUUAUUUGGGACAUGUAUAGGUACCGUAAGCGCGUUUUAGUUCCCGAGAAAAAAUUCAGGGAACGUAGGGACCGCCUGUAAACGCAGUGAAAAUCUAGUUUUCGGCGUCAAAAUCAAGUAAGAACCCAUCACCCUAUUUCCUAUCAUAGAAUUAAAGUUCGAAUAAAUGGUAAUACUGCAUUUUUUUAAAUUAAUGGAUAUGCAUAAUUAACUAAGGUUGCUAAUGGAGCCCGAAAUCGGUCAUUAUUCUCUGUCGAUUCUUACUUGAUUUAUUUUUAUAGUUUAAAUGCAUUAUGGUAUCUGGUUUAUCUAUUCUAUGGUUUUAAAUGCAUGAAUACUGCUUACUUCACUACUAUUUGAUUUUGGGAAUCUAAGACAUGUUUGCUUUGUUGGAUGCAUGUUACUUGUUUAUGUAUUUAUGUUUGAGUUGGUAACGGAGACUAAGGAUAAAUAGGAAUGGGAUGUGAUUUGAUAAAUGCAUAAGAUGACAGCUCACUAGAUAUCUUGGGAGAUAGUGGACAGACCGGGUUCAUAGGGAACCCUACCGUGAACGUUGUCUCAUAUCGGACGGGGUAUAGAGACUUGGUUAUUUGGCGCUCAUACCAGACGGGAUAUGGGGACAACCCGCUUCACCCUCAUACCGGACGAGGUAUUGAGCUUUAUUAUUUUGGUGCUCAUACCGGACUGGGUAUAGGGAUGACCCUGAAAUUAAGAUUGUUAAAGGAAAUGGUUCACGUAUAGCGGGGACUCUUAUGGAUCCCCAUGGAUACUAGUAGGCUGAUAAAAAAGGGCAAUUGUUGUUUGAUGAUUUGAAUAUAAAAGUAUGAUAUGUGCUAUGUUACAGAUUAUAUAUGAAUUCAUGAUAUUUAUAAUGUUAUUGUUUCCAUAGGUCGUUUUAUAAAUCUCACUGCGGUAAAUGGACAGUAAAUGGUUGAUUAUUGAUAAAUAAAUUUGUUUAAAAUUUGUGCUCCAUUGGUUGUUUUUGGUUUUCUACCAACCUUUACUUCUAUAACAGUGAUAUAGUAUGAUGUUCUUACUGGGCUAGUGUAGCUCAUUCCUUAUUUAACAAUUUCAGAUCAGGAGGACCUGGUUCCCGAGCCCGAUCCACAAGAAGACGUCGAGUAUAUACUAAAUACUUUAUAGUUUCCUUUAUUUUUCUCAUUUCUUGUAUUUUCUUUAGAGAACUUAUUCCGUGAUAUUGUUUAGUACUUUUAAGUUAUUGUGUAAGGGAUGUUAACCUUAAUCUUUUAUUUCGCUUCCGCACUCAGAUUAUUAUAUGUAUUUCUUUUUGAAUUUCUGGGGCCGUUACAUAAUAACACAAAUAAUAUCAUAAUCUCAUAUGCAAUCAGUCGGUUACAACAACUUUCUCUUUUAUCAGGCUAUUGAUAUCCAUGAAGGUCCAUAGGAAUGUCCCUACUACGCGUGAACCCUUUUGUUUUAUAUUUUUAAUUAACAGACCGUCCUCACAUCUCGUCCGGUAUGAGCGCUAAAAUAUCAUCCCUUAAUACCCCGUCCAGCAUGAGGGUGAAACGGGUAGUCCCCAUACGCUGUCCAGUAUGAGCACCAAAAUACUAAUCAUCGAUACCCCGUCCGGUAUGAAGCAACGUUCACGGUAGGGUUCCUUAUGUACUCGGUCCGUCCACCAUAUCUCAGGAUAUCCAGUACGACUAUUAUUCAUCUAUUUACUUAAUCAAAUAAUUUUUCGUUUUCCUUUAAUUUUUAGUUUUCCAAUUUAACUUUAAUCACAUAGAACAAGUAAUACAUGCAUCCAGGAAACAUAAUCGCAUCAUACCAAUUUCAGUGUAUUAUCAUACAUUCGAAAUUGUAAAAUCAACCAAUAAGGUAAACAUGACAAACAUUUAUAAAUAACUAGUUCUGACUCUAUUAGUGACCUGUAAUUAAUUAUGAAUAUUUUCUAAAUUACACAAAAUACCAUAUUAUUAUUAAUUAAACUUCAAUUUCAUAACAGGGAAUAAGGUGAUGGAUUUUUACUCGAAUUGAUGUCCGAACGCUAAACUUUUGGCUGUGCCUGUUGGCGGUCUUCGAGUUCCCUAAAUUUUCUUUCGGGAUUAAAACACACUCCAAGUACCUAUAAAUACUCCAAAAAAUCCAAAAUCAAUGUUAGAAACCCCUUUUAGCUAAUUCAAGAAUUCCGACAUGGCGGCUCCGACGUGCUUCAGCGACGGUGGUUUGUCUCGGGUUAGUCGUUUUCUGCCAUUUUCGAUCGAUUUUGGCCAGUUUUGCACUCAUCCCUGUGAGAAAACAUGUUAAGGGGCAUCAGUUAGUUGAAAAAGUAAAAAAACUGAAGCUUACCAGCAGAGUUUUCUGGUGCGGUAUCUCCGCUAGCUCACCUUCGCGGUUGGGUAUUUUGUUUUAAUCAACCUGUAGAGAAAAAAAUUGUGAUUAUAAUGAUGAAAAAAUUGCACGAAACAGGAAUCGAGAAGGGUCUCAUUGAAGGUAUUUUUACUUUUUUCCGUGGCGGCAACGUCAGGCUUUUUCCGUAGUUUCCGGCUCAUUCGUCGGUUCUUUUGUUCCGAUUUAGCCAUGUAGGUGUUCAAAAUUGAAUUUCGAGCGAAAGAUAAAAAUUUUACCUCUUUUGGCGGUCAGAAGUGGCUCCGGCGCGGCGGUCGACUCCUUUCCCGGCAAUUGGCUUUUCUUCUCCAGCGGAGGGGUCUGUCGGCUAGGGUUAGGGUUUAAUGUGAAGAGGGUUAUUUAUAUCCAUCUCUUUUUAAUCUGGGCCGUUCAUCAUGUUUGAUAUAAAUCGUCCUAUCGCGUUCAAAUAGGAAGUGAAUCUGGAUCGUUCAUCGCGGUUUGAUAUAGACCGUCCGAUCGCGUUUAAAUAGGAAGUGGAUCUGCAUCGUUCAUCCCGAUUUGAUUUGAGUCAUCUGAUCGUGUUUAAAGGAAAAACAGAUCCGGACCGUCCGUGUGCGCGGGAACAAAUUUGGACUGUCCGAUCGCAGACACACAGAUCGCCAGCGUGGCCUCCCGCGUGGCACCGCGUCAGCGUGUCUUGUCACACGGCGCGCUCCGGUCCGUCGAAGUUGCUGAUUAGGCGUUCUAGGUGACACAAUUUUUUUAAAUUAUAUUUAAGCUCACAGUUUUUUAUUUUUCUUUCAAAAACACACGCAGAACCUAAAUUUUCACUUUUUUUUUUCAAAAUUGUUUCCAAUUUUAUUAUUCACUUAUUUUUCUUUAUUUUUAUAGUAAAUAAAAGUUUAAAAAUUAAAAGAUUAUAUUUAUAUAUUAAUUUUAAUUAUAUUAAAAUUAAUUAAGGUAUUACACCAAUAAUAUUGCAAUAUGUGUUUAUGAAUACAUAUACAUAUAUAUAUAUAUAUUGUUUAAUUAUAUCAAAUGGGACCCACAGGUAAUAACCAAAUGUUUGCCUCAUAAAACGGGAACAUUAUUUUUAUAUUUAUGAAACAAUAGUUUCUUAUAUAAAUAUACAGCUGUUAAAAAAAGAGUUUAAUUUCCUUUUUGUCUUUUAUUUUGUUUGCUGAGGUCUCAAAAUGAUCUAAUUGUACUCCUCUCUCAUGUGUAUAUAUAUAUAUGUAUGGCCGAGUCAAAAUGAAGCUCAAAUUGAGUCAAUGAUUUGUUAAUUUGAUUAAUUUAAAUUAAUUAUUAUAAUUAAGCAGAAUUUUGUAGAUACGUUAUUUAACUCAUACAAUUUACCCCCCUACAAAGUAUAAAAUUGGAAAAAUACAUUUUAAAUUUUAUUAAAAUCUAUAAAAUUUAAAAGGUAUUAUACUAAUUUUUAAUAAAAUUACUUUUAUUAUUUUAGAAAAAAAAAAUUUCACAAUUAGAAUUUAAAAUUAUAAAUAAAAAUUUGAAGUUUCAUUUAGUAUAUUAAAAAAAAAAAUGAUACAAAGUAAUAUUAGAAGUUGAUAAUAAUGAAAUACUGUCAGGUGCCCAAAUUGAAAAUAAAACAAUUUUUGUGGUCCUCCCCAAUUUUCUCUAAAAUUUAUUUACUGACAAAUUUUGUGAAGUAGUUCAUAAACUUUAAUAAAAGGCAAUAAUAGCAAGAAGUUACAUUUAGAAGAUUAAAAAAACUAAACAAAAUUAUUUUAACUAAUUAACUAAAUAAAUAAAUUAUCAACAAAAUUUUUGUUAUUAUUUAUUAUAAUUAAUUUUUUAAUUUAAUUAAUUAAUAAACAUUAUUUUAAUUAUUUUUAAAAAAUAUUUAAAUAUAAUUUAACUAUUCUAAAGAUAAUCAUAUGUUAUAUACGUGUGCGUUUCAAGUCAUUAGUGCAUACGUAAUAUGACUACAUAUUUUUCUUAAACAAUUUUAAACUCGUACCCUCUUCUCUAUCGGACAGUACAACAUAAUUUACCUACACGCACACACAUAAUAUAUACAUAUAUAUAUAUAUAUAUAAAAUUUCUCUUUUGUUUUUUUUUUUUAAUUUAUUUUUCUUGGUUUUUUUUGAAGGAUGCUUUGCUAUAAUUUGAAAUUGAAAAAUUAAAGUGAAUCAUGUGAAUGUUACGUGGAUUUGGACAAGUCCUUUUUACUCCAUGAAUGAAACCAAAGAGAGCAACAAGAUGCCGUCCGAGCCUUAUCCAAAUCGCCUAAUUCAUGUGACAACGUUAAGUGAGAGAGUGUGUGAAGCAACUACUACUACAAGGUUAAGUUUUUAUAGUAAAAUAGCAACUCAAACAUCUAGUUAAAUCUUAAACAUCAUUUUAAUCAGGUUCAAAACGAUAUAAAAUUUUUUGUCCUUUCACGGUUGAUUUAACAUAUUUUAUUAUAUAUAUUUUCUAUAAAAAAAAAAUGAAAUAAAAUUUUUAAUAUAUCGGAAUUAUUUUAAUUAAAAAAAUUUAAUCACUCUAAUUUUUUUUUAAAUUUAUUAAAAUUUAAUUUAAGUUGAUCAUUAUAAUUUCAACAACACAAGAUGCAUUAUUAACGUGUUAUUUUUUAACUCAUUUGAGAUUCAUAAAAAUAUCUUUAAAAAAAAUGUUAAGAUGUAAGAAUUCUUUAUAAAAUGUUAUAAAUUCAAAUGAAACUGUAACUUUUACUUAUUAUCUUUAUAAAAUUGUUUUAUAGUUAUUGUGUAUAUAUAUCAUGAAAUGUAUAAAUUUUUAUUAAAAAAUUAAAAUAUUAAUUACCAAAAGUGAGUUUUUUACUAGUAAAUGUUAAUAUUUAAACAACUAUGAUUAUAUAGAAAUUCAAUAUAAAAGGCCAAAGAUUUCAUACGAGGGUAAAAUGAUUAACCAAUCAAGGGUAGGAAAUUAAAGAAUAUAUGAUACACUACAAGAGAGAAAUAGAAUUAACUAGCAAGAAAAGCUGAAAAACAAAGAAAAUACUUACUCAAGCUAUCAAGAGUUUGACAGUAAAGGGAAAAAGCUAAAAGUACUACAUGCUUUUCUUGCAUAAAGUACUACAUGCUUAAAAGUUUGUUGAAGCUUAAAGUUUUGUACAUUUAAAAGCACUUGAAGUAAAAAGUCCAUCCAAAUAGCUUUUAAUCGAGCAAAAGUAUUGAACUUUUUUUUCCAAAAAAAAUUUACCCACAAGACUUCUUGAUGAAAUGAACAUCUCACAACGAUAUCAAUGAGCAAUAAAUGCACUGUUGCAUAGCAUUCACUUCAGCUUUGUGCACUCAUCACAUGCAAUAAGCAACUUUAAGUAAUGAGAUAGGCAACUAUACAAUCCACAAGUUCUAUAUAUAGUCAAUAAAAAUUGCAAAGAUGCAAAGAGCCCAAGUAGGAGAAGCUGAGCGAAGAAGAUUUUCUGGUCUUGUGCUAUAUAUGUACAUAUAUGGGUAAUCUUUAAAUACCUUGACUUUGAGUUCCUUCUUCUCCUUCUGCUUCUUCUUCUCCUUCUUCUUCUUCCUCCUCUUUUCCUUCUUCAUUUUGUUGGGUUUUUUAAUUAUGGGAUUCAUAUCUUCAACUCAAGCCCCAAACAACAUGAAUCUGACAAAUUAACAGUAACUUAAUUUAUAUACAGAAGCUACCCUCUUCUAUCUCCCCUACACAUGAAAAAAAUCAAGAACUGCCAAAGAACAUUCACAUGUCUUUGUUUUUUGUGAAAAAGAUAAACUUGUUCACUUUUGGUUACAGUUGGAUCUCCACCAACUAUUGGCCCUCUUUAUCCACACAACAAACCCAUCUUCUUUCAUUAAACUAUAUGGUAAUGCUUGCUUUUUGUGCUGAGCAGUUUUAAGCCCAAAUCAUCUCGGAGAAGGUUUAUGUGGAAGCCUAUGGUUUAUUGUUGUCUCCCAAAGUUGGCUCCCAUGAAACCAAUCAUCAUAAUCCUCUUUACUCUUUCCUCUUCGCUUUUCCUCUCAUUGCCUUUCAAAGUUGAGCCAGCACAUAGUCAUAACUAUGCUCAGAUCACAGUCAUGGGUCUCGUUUACUGCGACAUCUGCUCAAACAACAGUUUCUCCACCCACAGCUACUUCAUACCAGGUAAUAAAGCAAAAGAAACCCAGUAGUGGUUUCAUGUUCUGAAAUUUUCCCUUAAAAAAAAAUUUCAAGCUCUGUACAGAAACAGUUUUUUUUUUUUUAAGUACUCUCAUGUUUUAAUUAACCAGGUGCACAGGUCAGAAUAGACUGCAGAUUCAAAGCAGUGUCACCUAGAACCAGAGAGCAGAUAACAGUGUCAGUGAACAGAACAACAAACAGACAUGGAAUGUACAAGUUGGACAUACCAUCAGUGGAUGGGGUGUCAUGCGCAGAGGCAGCUAUGGGAUCUUCAUGUCAAGCGAGCUUACUCAGGAGUUCAUCUUCUUCAUGUAAUGUUCCUGGUUACGGAAGCACAACAGAUGAGAUAGAAUUUAAAGCCAAGCGACCAAAUCUCUGCAUCUACAGCCUAAAUGCACUGAGUUUCAAGCCCUCAAAGAGAGACCUUGCCUUGUGCGGCUAGUAGAAGGAAGACCUUGGCUUUAUUUGCGUAUGUAUGGUUCUCUUCUUUGCCACUUAUCCUGCAACAGUCUCCUCCUACAUAAAAAUGG